AGGAAUAUUGGGCAAUGCCCGCAAGGGUGACCCAGCAACGCCGCGUGGAGGAUGAAUGUCGUAAGAUUGUAAACUCCUGUUAGAGGGGAAGAAUAGUACCGGUUGGACCGGUAUAUGACUGUACCCUCAGAGAAAGCCCCGGCUAACUACGUGCCAGCAGCCGCGGUAAUACGUAGGGGGCAAGCGUUGUCCGGAUUUAUUGGGUGUAAAGGGCGCGCAGGCGGGAUAAAAAGUCAGUGGUGAAAUCCUACAGCUUAACUGUAGAACUGCCUUUGAUACUUUUAUUCUUGAGUUCGGGAGAGAGAGACGGAAUUCCAGGUGUAGUGGUGAAAUACGUAGAUAUCUGGAAGAACACCAGUUGCGAAGGCGGUCUCUUGGUCCGACACUGACGCUGAGGCGCGAAAGCGUGGGGAGCAAACA
rnacentral:rRNA from 1 species